rnacentral:rRNA from 1 species
CCUACGGGCGGCUGCAGUCGAGAAUCUUUCGCAAUGGGCGCAAGCCUGACGAAGCGACGCCGUGUGAGCGAAGAAGGCCUUCGGGUUGUAAAGCUCUUUCGCUAGGGAACAAGAGAGGGGUGCUAACAACAUCCUGAUUUGAGGGUACUUGGUAAAGAAGCACCGGCUAACUCCGUGCCAGCAGCUGCGGUAAUACGGAGGGUGCAAGCAUUGCUCGGAAUUAGCGUAGGCAAAUGGCGCAGUCACGGGUGAAAUGCCACGGCUCAACCGUGGAGCUGCAUUUGAAACUGUUCGGCUAGAGCGUAGUUAGGGAAAACGGAAUUCCACAUGUAGCGGUGAAAUGCGUAGAUAUGUGGAGGAACACCGGUGGUGAAGACGGUUUUCUGGGCUAUAGCUGACGCUGAGGCGCGAAAGCUAGGGGAGCAAACAGGAUUAGAUACCCGUGUAGUC